rnacentral:misc_RNA from 1 species
UGCAAACCAGUUGAGGGAAACAGGUGGAUCAAGGGCGCAAAAAACAAGGAAGAUGGUGGCAAGGAGAAACAACCGAAAAAUCUGACUGAAGAAGGCUUCACGCGCCCGCGGGUGAUUAGGGGCGCACCCUUCUGACGGCAUGUGAGGCCACACGCCUUAUAGGAUGACGGCGAUGCUUCAGGCGAGCGCCGACAACUUGGGUUCUUCCUCCUUGAGUGGGCAGUGACACUUACCUCUCUCAAUAGACCUGCUUUUUAGGCUUCUCACACAAACCUUAACUUUUCUGGUACUGUUCACGCUAAGAAAAGUUGGUUUAGCUCUGAUACCAUGUUGAAAUAAGAGAACAUUAAG